AGAUAACUCACUAUCAAUUAAAUAUUUCUAUAAAUUCAUAAAUGUAAAUCGCAGGCACCAUUUUACUGUAGAUUUCAUUAUUAGCAAGACAACAUCUGAUCAGGCUGAUGUAGCAUAGCGGCCUUAUGUACAAUUGGCCAACUAAAGACAAUAGUUCCAUGAAGAAAAAAGAAAACGAAGACCUUAAGUAAUAAAAUUAUGAAAAAACGGUUCUUGACAAAGAAGAAGCAAGAGAUUCAUUGAAGAAAACUUAUUAAAUAGAACUGCCAACAUUCCAAUUUCCAUGAUGAGGCUUUGUGAAACAAAAUUCACGAGUCAGAAAUUUAUCGAUCGUCCUGCUCAUGUUGAGUAUCGGAAAUUCCGUGAAGAAUAUAUGCGUUCCGUUUUCGAGCAAACAAAAUAUAAAGGAAAGUACGUGACCCUACAACAAUGCAUGUAUGUAGAAACUUUAUAUAUCGAAAAGGACAAGAAUGCAGAAAAGUUACUCGGAAUACUCAGAUCAGCAAAAUGACAUUUACAUAGGUAAUUAUUUAUUAAAUGGCUAUUGCUAAGCCAUGAAUGGGAAGCGACUACUGCAGAAAAGUCCAUAAAUGGAAGACUAAAAGCAUUUCAUGACGUUUUAGAGGAUGAGAAGAAAAGGCUUGGUAUAGAAAAUCUUUUGAAGCAAUUUGGGAAGCAGACACAUUUUCUGUGGACUUACUCAACCAAUUACGUAAAACCAGCAAAAAUUAAUAUCAUCCAUUAAUUCUACAAAAGUUCAUGAAACAUUUUUACAUUUAUCCAUGGUCACUCGUGAUCCAACAAAUAUCAAUUCAUGCAGCAGAAUACUAACCGAAGUGAUUAUCAAAAAUCCGUAAAGGAAAACGACGAGAAUGAUCUGUAAUAAAUAUUCAACAUUAACAUUGGCAUAACUCGGCCGACAGAUUUUCAUUUUCACAUCGACAUUCCUUGAGGUUUUGCGAAACGAAAUUUAUGAGUCGAAAAAUUUAUCGAUCUUGCGGCUUACGUUGACCAAUUUGGAGAUUCCGUGAUUAAUAUCUACAGGCGAUCGCUAGAAAAUACUUGUAAAUGGCCCUAUAAUGAUGUAUGCGAAAACUUAUACUAUACUUAUCGCGGAAAUAAAAGAAUUCAUAAGUUGCCAAACAUACCCAGAUCAGAAAAAUGGCAAUGGUUUAUUGAGUAGUCAUUGUUAAGCUCUGAAUUGGAACUUACCUACAACUAAAGAAAUAAAUUUGUUAAUGAAAAACUGAAAUCUUUUCAUGAUGUUUUGGAGAAUGAGAAAAUAUUUUAGAGCAAUUCGAGAAACAGACACUACUCGUAUCUACAUUAUAUAAACUUUAUCAGUGUGUAGUUUUAUUGAAUAAUGCAUGCAUAAUCACACAUACUUACUUAUUUACCUGUGUAUUUCAUCUUUAGAAUUAAGUUUCUCAUUCACAUUUAGUUCAAGGCAUGAAAAGGCGUUGUUUUUUUGUCUUGAUCAUCAAUCUCAAACAUUCGUGAAAACCCUCCCUCGCUUCCCAUAUUAAAUAAAUUUAAAUAUAUGUAGUUCUUCGUGUCAA